AUUGAGGUUGGUUCGAGUUGGACCACUUUAGUGUGUUCUGCUUAAAAACUCUCGGCACGCUUCUAUAAAAAAACAGCGAUACGAAAAUUGAUGACGAUGACAGAGGAAUCGAACGAGAUUCCAACUGAGUUGGUGACAGAUUGGCUGGAUUGGGAAGCACUUCGUUCUCUCAAAGUUACGCCACGACCUCCUGAUAAUCUUCACACUUACUUCGUGGAAAAAGUGUUGUGCCACAACAACACAGCUGCAGAACUGAAGGAUCGAGAUCUGAAAGGAGUGUUGAUACGAGGUCCACGGUGUAAAUCUGAAAAACAAAUUGCCGCCGACGAAAUUGGAUUGGUCAACUAUGGAUGCUUAUACAUUCCAGCGACAGAAUUCGAUCAUAUUUACAUAAUCAAGAGCAUAAACAAUCUAAAUCGACCAAAAGAUAUAUUGCGUACAUUGACACAGCAAGUUCGAGAACUGUCAGAUAUGGGCAUUGAUGAA